CUAAAACCAGUAAACAAAUCCCUAGUAGCCAUUUCAAUCACGUUUAGCUCUGUCAUUUGUAUAAUCUUGGUCUGUGUUGUUGGUUACAUAGUACUCUUUUUUUAUCAAAUAAUAUAUACUUAUAUCUUACAACAGUACUUUUUAUGAUUAAUAUAGAAUAUAUGCUGGACAGAACGACAUAUUUAGUACACCAAGACAGAUCAGAAUCUAAUUCAAUUGGUACAGCAUAUUAAUUUAAUGCAUGCCAGUUAGCUUAUACCCAUAAAAAA
rnacentral:lncRNA from 1 species